rnacentral:rRNA from 1 species
UACGUAGGGGGCAAGCGUUGUCCGGAUUUAUUGGGCGUAAAGAGCGUGUAGGCGGCCAGAUAGGUCCGUUGUGAAAACUGGAGGCUUAACCUCCAGCGGUCGAUGGAAACCAUUUGGCUAGAGUCCGGAAGAGGAGAGUGGAAUUCCUGGUGUAGCGGUGAAAUGCGCAGGAUAUCAGGAAGAACACCCGUGGCGAAGGCGGCUCUCUGGGACGGUACUGACGCUAG